rnacentral:rRNA from 1 species
GAAUUCGCCCUUAGAGUUUGAUCCUGGCUCAGGAUGAACGCUGGCGGCGUGCCUAACACAUGCAAGUCGAACGGUUAAACCGCCCUCGGGCGGACAUACAGUGGCGAACGGGUGAGUAACACGUGACCAACCUGCCCCGCGCUCCGGGACAACCGCUGGAAACGGCGGCUAAUACCGGAUACUCCGCGGCCCCCGCAUGGGGGCGGCGGGAAAGCCCCGACGGCGCGGGAUGGGGUCGCGGCCCAUUAGGUAGUAGGCGGGGUAGAGGCCCACCUAGCCGACGAUGGGUAGCCGGACUGAGAGGUCGAUCGGCCACAUUGGGACUGAGAUACGGCCCAGACUCCUACGGGAGGCAGCAGUGGGGAAUUUUGCGCAAUGGGGGAAACCCUGACGCAGCAACGCCGCGUGCGGGACGAAGGCCCUCGGGUCGUAAACCGCUUUCAGCAGGGAAGACCACGACGGUACCUGCAGAAGAAGCUCCGGCUAACUACGUGCCAGCAGCCGCGGUAAUACGUAGGGGGCGAGCGUUAUCCGGAUUCAUUGGGCGUAAAGCGCGCGUAGGCGGCCGCCUAAGCGGAACCUCUAACCCCGGGGCUCAACCUGGGAACUGCUUCUGAAACUGUAUGGCUGGAGUGCUGGAGAGGUGAGCGGAAUUCCUAGCGUAGCGGUGAAAUGCGUAGAUAUUGGGAGGAACACCAGUGGCGAAGGUAGCUCUCUGGACUGUAACUGACGUUGAGGGCUCGAAAGCGUGGGGAGCGAACAGGAUUAGAUACCCUGGUAGUCCACGCAGUAAACGAUGAAUGCUAACUGUCCGGUGCGAAUGAGCGCUGGGCGGUACAGCGAAAGCGUUAAGCAUUCCACCUGGGGAGUACGCCGGCAACGGUGAAACUCAAAGGAAUUGACGGGGGCCCGCACAAGCGGAGGAACAUGUGGUUUAAUUCGAUGAUACGCGAGGAACCUUACCCGGGCUCAAACGCAGGAUGACGGGUCCCGAAAGGGGCCUUUCUUCGGACAUUCUGCGAGGUGCUGCAUGGUUGUCGUCAGCUCGUGCCGUGAGGUGUCGGCUUAAGUGCCAUAACGAGCGCAACCCCUGUCCACAGUUGCCAGCAGGUAAAGCUGGGGACUCUGUGGAGACUGCCGGCGCAAGCUGCGAGGAAGGCGGGGAUGACGUCAAAUCAGCACGGCCCUUACGUCCGGGGCGACACACGUGUUACAAUGGCAGGUACAGCGGGAUGCCACGGGGCGACCCGGCGCUGAACCCGAAAACCUGUCUCAGUUCGGAUUGGAGUCUGCAACCCGACUCCAUGAAGCUGGAUUCGCUAGUAAUCGCGCAUCAGCCACGGCGCGGUGAAUACGUUCCCGGGCCUUGCACACACCGCCCGUCA